CCCCCUUGCUGGGGAUCUUGGGGCCAGAGUAUAUAAAAUUCCUGGGUCACUGUAUGUGCCUGAGCAGCUGCUCUGCUGAGACACCACACAGUUCUGUGUAUUGGACCCAAGGCCCUGGUGGCAUGAACUCAGGAGAUCUCCUGAUCUAUGUAUCCAGUUAAAGCAGGCAAUAGAUGAAAAUAAAAAUGCUCUUCAAAAAUUAAGCAAAGCUGAUGAAUCUGCACCUGUUGCAAACUAUAAUCAGAGAAAAGAAGAGGAGCAUACUCUUUUGGACAAGCUUACCCAACAACUGCAGGGCCUUGCUGUGACAAUAAGCAGAGAAAAUAUAACUGAGUAUGCUUCCUUUCUACCUUUCUUUUUUCUUUUUUAAAGAUAUAUCACCAAUAGCUUUAAUGUUUAACUCAAAGACAUAUAGCAGUAUAGAUAUAAACAAAUGACACUAACAAUAGAAUCAGUCAACAUUUAUUUAUUGUGUAUAAUAGAAGGUGUUAGAUCCCAUGAGAGAUGGAAAGAAGUGUAAGUCAUAGUCUCUGCCCUCAGGCAAUUUAUAAUUUAGUUGAAACAAAACAGAGAUCUGAAAAGCUAAAUGAACAAAUGUUAGAAAAUAAAGAUGAUAUAUUUAAUGUCAAUGUUGAUGUGUAAAAGGGAAAUGAUUUGGAAUGUCU
rnacentral:lncRNA from 1 species